rnacentral:sRNA from 1 species
UUUGGAAGUAAAAGUCGUAACAAGGUCUCCGUUGGUGAACCAGCGGAGGGAUCAUUACCGAGUUAUACAACUCAUCAACCCUGUGAACAUACCUAAACGUUGCUUCGGCGGGAACAGACGGCCCCGUAACACGGGCCGCCCCCGCCAGAGGACCCCCUAACUCUGUUUCUAUAAUGUUUCUUCUGAGUAAAACAAGCAAAUAAAUUAAAACUUUCAACAACGGAUCUCUUGGCUCUGGCAUCGAUGAAGAACGCAGCGAAAUGCGAUAAGUAAUGUGAAUUGCAGAAUUCAGUGAAUCAUCGAAUCUUUGAACGCACAUUGCGCCCGCCAGUAUUCUGGCGGGCAUGCCUGUUCGAGCGUCAUUACAACCCUCAGGCCCCCGGGCCUGGCGUUGGGGAUCGGCGGAGCCCCCUGCGGGCACACGCCGUCCCCCAAAUACAGUGGCGGUCCCGCCGCAGCUUCCAUUGCGUAGUAGCUAACACCUCGCAACUGGAGAGCGGCGCGGCCACGCCGUAAAACCCCCAACUUCUGAA